rnacentral:lncRNA from 1 species
UACAGGACCAGGAGGACUGGGUUGAACACGCCGUCAGUCCCCGUCAUGUCAAUCCAGAACAGGCAUGCCCUGCCCGUCAUGUCCCAGUACACGGUCAGCGCUAGCUCCGCUGAUGUGCGGGGUCUCCCCGCAGAUUGCGCCUCCAGGUCCAACGCCGCACGAGCUUUGGCGCGCGCAUUGCACGCGUCGAGCACGUUCGGCCGCAGUUGCCGCANNNNNNNNNNNNNNNNNNNNNNNNNNNNNNNNNNNNNNNNNNNNNNNNNNNNNNNNNNNNNNNNNNNNNNNNNNNNNNNNNNNNNNNNNNNNNNNNNNNNUUGCUAAGGUGGAGGUGGUACGGCCGCAGUCGUUGUACUAUGCUGCAGACUUUAGUCGCCGCAAGGCAACCCCCAACCAAGAACGCCAGCAGACGUUCCUGAACUCGUUCCCCGUGCUAUUGCAAGCCAUUGACUCGAAGGUGAUGCGCUGCAAGCUCGACGAGAAUAAAAGUUACUUCAUUACGUACCACUUGUUUUCUCAGUUGCCAACCAAUGAUGGUGAUUGGCAAGGAGCAGUGCAAGUUGGGUAGCCGCUCACGCGGCUGAUGCAGUCUGUAACAUGAUGAUGUCUUCUGGGCUUGUGUCUUCCGGGGCCGCCAACCGUUCCACUAAAGAAAACUUCCCGGCUGCCGACAGCGCACGCAGCCCUGCACCGGUGCCGUAUGACGAUGCAGCCCCAGCCCCCUUCCCGCCUUUCCACUAAAGAAAACUUCCCGGCUGCCGACAGCGCACGCAGCCCUGCACCGGUGCUGUAUGACAAUGCAGCCCCAGCCCCCUUCCCGCCGUUCCACUAAAGAAAUCUUCCCGGCUGCCGACAGCGCACGCAGCCCUGCACCGGUGCCGUAUGACGAUGCAGCCCCUGCCCCCUUCCCGCCUUUCCACUAAAGAAAACUUCCCGGCUGCCGACAGCGCACGCAGCCCUGCACCGGUGCCGUAUGACGAUGCAGCCCCAGCCCCCUUCCCGCCUUUCCACUAAAGAAAACUUCCCGGCUGCCGACAGCGCACGCAGCCCUGCACCGGUGCUGUAUGACGAUGCAGCCCCAGCCCCCUUCCUGCCUUUCCACUAAAGAAAACUUCCCGGCUGCCGACAGCGCACGCAGCCCUGCACCGGUGCCGUAUGACGAUGCAGCCCCAGCCCCCUUCCCGCCUUUCCACUAAAGAAAACUUCCCGGCUGCCGACAGCGCACGCAGCCCUGCACCGGUGCUGUAUGACGAUGCAGCCCCAGCCCCCUUCCUGCCGUUCCACUAAAGAAAACUUCCCGGCUGCCGACAGCGCACGCAGCCCUGCACCGGUGCUGUAUGACAAUGCAGCCCCAGCCCCCUUCCCGCCGUUCCACUAAAGAAAUCUUCCCGGCUGCCGACAGCGCACGCAGCCCUGCACCGGUGCCGUAUGACGAUGCAGCCCCAGCCCCCUUCCCGCCGUUCCACUAAAGAAAUCUUCCUGGCUGCCGACAGCGCACGCAGCCCUGCACCGGUGCCGUAUGACGAUGCAGCCUCAGCCCCCUUCCCGCCUUUAAAGAAAACUUCCCGGCUGCCGACAGCGCACGCAGCCCUGCACCGGAAGCUUCCCAGCAUCUGAGACACAAGUUUCCCAUCAGUACAGUAUUGAUCUACCGGCCUCUUGUUUGUUUACCUAUGGAACUCAUAACAACAACGAUACAUGCUUGCGACCAGCCGUGCAUGGCUGAUCCGCCCGCUCAGCACUUCCCACCACUGCCCUGCGCCCGGCGGCCCUUGAUAGCUGACUGUGGCAGGGCCGCACCCGCAGCCCGCUUCUGGGAUGGCGGAUGACAUCCAGCCUCGGCCUCACACCCCGCGCUUGCGGCCAUGCGCAGGAUCUCCGCCUCAAACUCCUCACCGCGCUUGCACAUGACAUGCAGAGAUGCGGUCUUGCCCUCCGCCGCCAACUCCAACCGCCCACGUGCCUCGGCCCUCCCCACUUUCACAUCAGACUGGCGUGACACAACGCCAGAGCCCACCGUCACGCCGCACGGCAUGCCCGCCUCAUCGAAUUUAGCGUUAAGUGGCACACGCAAGUCAGCACCGUGCACCACCUGCCGCGCGUCGAACACCAGCAGGUCGCUGUCCUGGGUGCGGGUGUAGGCGCUGACCCCACCAAAUGUGAACAGGUUGCGGCUGACAUGAGCCGCACGCUCCACAUCGUCCAGGAAGUCCUUGCACUGCAUGGCGAUGAGGGGUGAGCUGUCAUACAGCAGGCCAGGGCCAUACCCAUAAGCGCGCCAGCGAGCCCACGCCCAAAUUGUCAAGCACCGGCUUUGGUCAGGGCAAUGCUCCCUGGCUGGCAUUUGCAUCCUUCCUCCACCCGGCCACAAAAACGUUCCGCCGGGUCCCUUCUCCACCCCACCAGCUCGUCCAACCCUUGACGCCUGGCAGCUCACCCGGCGCCCUGUUGCCGACUUCCACAGAGCCAGGAACACGACAGUUGGCGUUGCGUCGUCCGGGUCCAGAUGCGGGUGUGUGAAGUAGUCCAGCCCAACCGGAACCAGGCCCCAUGGCGCCCCUGUCGCCAGGAUUGCAGGCGUACCCGCGACGGUCUCCUUCGCGCUCGUCACGAGGUAGUCCCACAUCGCCAGCAGCAGCAUGGCGAUGCACAGGCCGAACGCACCAAUGACCACCCGCGCUUCGUGGCUCCUCGAUGUGUGCGCAUACCUGUCAAGGAAUCAGGCCGUGCACCUUGCAUCUGUUGCCAAGCCAUCCCGAACGCCGCCCAAAGCCCUCGCCUCCCUGGAUUUCCCCUCAGGUUCCGCUCCACCACCGCUACGCACGCCCCUCCCUCCCUGCCAUCGCUUGCCAGUCCCAUGCCACUCACAUGGUCACGCGGCUCGCCUUGUUGGUCUGCACAUGCCGGUAGCCUGCCAUGUGAGUUUCGCCGCCACACUCUUUCAGCCGACCACGGGGGACCUUCUUCAGCGUCUGCGCCUCCAUCAGGCGCCGCUGCAUGUUGCGCGCCGCUCGCACCAACACCGGGUACUUGCUCUGCAUCACCGGCCCCGGCACAUACAGGACCAGGAGGACUGGGUUGAACACGCCGUCAGUCCCCGUCAUGUCAAUCCAGAACAGGCAUGCCCUGCCCGUCAUGUCCCAGUACACGGUCAGCGCUAGCUCCGCUGAUGUGCGGGGUCUCCCCGCAGAUUGCGCCUCCAGGUCCAACGCCGCACGAGCUUUGGCGCGCGCAUUGCACGCGUCGAGCACGUUCGGCCGCAGUUGCCGCACGUUGCCUCGC